rfam:Parcubacteria group bacterium RIFCSPHIGHO2_01_FTLL_47_10b rifcsphigho2_01_scaffold_10981, whole genome shotgun sequence.
AUUUGGAGCUAGGCGAUCGAUCCGUGCUAUACUUAUUGCUGCAAGGCUAUGAUAGCCGGAUAGGAAAGUCCGAACACCCGCAACAUGGUGUGCGAUUCGCAUAGCAUGUGGCGACAAAGGAAGCGGGUAACGCCCGUCGUGCCGUCAGCAAUGGCGUCAUAGGGAAAGUGUCACAGAGACGAGCAAUAUGAAACGUCUCCACAAGGGCCUUACCGGCCUGCGCGGAGUCUGCCUCGUGGUAACACGGGGCGGUGGUAAACCCUUCCUGGUGCAAUCCGUUCGACGGAGCUUGAGGUCGUCAGCAAUGGCGAUCCCAGAUAUAUGGUCGCCCUCGACAGAAUUCGGCUUAUCGGCUCCAAAUCUUU